CUAGUAAGUAGUGUCCUGUGUCGAUGAGCUCAUAACAUUCAGAGAGAGAGAGAGAGAGAGAGAGAGAGAGAGAUCGGAAGGUCAAACGAAGCAAAGUCCCUGUUCUCCAGAAUGAGGUUCUCCGUGACCAAGCUGGCCCAGGCCCUGGUUCCCCCCUACGAGCCAACACCGACCGGCAACCUCACCCUUUCUUCCAUGGAUCGAUAUCCCCGAGGGUGCAGAUACCUGUAUGACUCGAUCCAUGUGUUUGGGCACGGAGAAGAGCCUGCAAAGGUAAUAAGGGAAGCGUUGUCGAGGGCCCUUGUCCCCUACUACCCCGUCGCAGGCCGGCUCGUGGAUUCCGACCAAGGCGAGCCGGAGGUUGCCUGUACUGGAGACGGCGUAUGGUUUGUCGAGGCAUCCGCCAGCUGCAACCUCGGAGAUGUCAACCACCUCGAACGCCCUCUUAUGAUCCCCAAACAACUGCUCCUCCCAUGCCCUUCCCCUGAAACAAAAGAGAGGGAUGCGAUUUUGCUGAUGCAGGUUACCGGAUUCACUUGUGGUGGAUUUGCACUCGGCAUCAGAUUCAAUCAUGCAUUCUUUGACGGCACCGGAGUCGGUCAAUUCCUGAAAGCCGUAGCCGAGAUGGCCAAAGGUCUCGCGCGGCCGACCGUUGAGCCGAUCUGGUGUAGAGAAGCUAUCCCUAACCCACCCAGGUUGUACAACGAACCUAAGCUACUAAUCACGUCGCCUUUGGAGCUUUUCGUUUUAGAUCUCUCUCUAGACCACGUCCACCAAAUGAAGAGCAAAUUCACGAAAGAGACGAGUCGGAUCUGCACCAAGUUCGAGGUGCUCACGGCCAAGGUCUGGCAGUCUCUCGUUCGAGCAAUCAACUUGGAUCCCCAUGUCGAUGUCUGCUUGAUCUUUACAACAAAUGUUCGACAUCUGAUGCAACAAAUAUUACCCCCUGAAGGAGGUUAUUAUGGCAAUUGUAUGUACCGUGCGACGGUUACAGCAACCAGGGGGAAGAUCACGAAUGCAUCCCUUGUCGAGAUUGUGAGUUUAAUCCAAGAGGCUAAAGAUGAGCUGAUGUCCAGGUUCUCAAAAUGGUUGAUGGGAGACCCCGCGGCAGACCCUUUUAAAGAGCCAUUGAGAUACGGGUCUUUGUGGGUGACGGAUUGGACUAGAGUGGGCUUCUCUGAGCUCGACUAUGGAUGGGGAGGACCCGUUCAUGUUGUCCCACUGAGUGAUACCGAGUUUGUGCCUUUAUGCUUCAUUCUCAAGCCACCUGCAGCCAAACAAAGUGUGCGUUUGAUGACCCGUUGUGUUGCGAAGGAGCACUUGCCAAGUUUUCUUGAUCAUAUGAAUUCGAUCUCGGCGUCUACAGUACUGAACCAAUUUGAGGAUGAGUAUUUUUGCCCCAAGUCCGAGUAGUGCUCGCCAGGGUUAGAAUUGCCGAAACUCUGCUGUGAUAUCGAAGUUGGCGUUUUUGAGAAUCAGGCAAGUGCAACAUACUGUGAUAAAUAAUAUGUCAAAAAUAUGUCUGCUGUUACAUCAAUCAAAAACUGUCUUUGCUUGCAUAACUCAUUUCUAUGAGAGCUUGUUGGAUCCUCUUUCCUCUUUCUAUAAAAUUAUAGCUCCAAACGGUGUUUGAAUGUCCAGUCCAUUUUUUCCUUCAUGAUGAUAAUCGGCUUUGGGAUAUAACUGGCUCUGGUUUUUCCACCACGGCAGUGGUCAUUAGACCAGCUGGAGGGCAGGAGGAGCUGGGGCAUGGUGCUUUUCUAAAUUGGCUCUGAGUACACAGGGCAAAUCUUCUUUAUUUUACUCUUAUGAUGGACUGCACCCUGUGUGUGGCUUCAUCUUGUCUUCUGGUUCAGCCGACUGUUGGUUUGGAGGAUUAUUCCAACAGGGGGCGGAUCAGCUGAACUGACCACUGUUCAUAUUAACUAUUGUCUUCGUUUUCAGACUGCUGUCAGGAACUUCAUGGAUUUAUUUUGUGUUGGUUUGUUACUGAACAAUGAUGGGAUGCAGCUCACUUGCAAUCUCAGCAAGAAUGAAUGGCUGGAGGUUGUCCUUUCAAACACAACCAAGGUUGUUUACUGAUAGGAGGGGAUAGGAUACUCAGCAAUGAUGGUGGUUGUUUCACCUUUGAGUACUCAGCAGUUCUCUAUUUGCUUUAUCUUCUCUCAUUCUGGCUUGUUCUUAGCUCAUAUUAACUUAAAAUUAACGAGCAGAUAUUGUCCUGGGGCAGUUCGCAACAACACCAACUGGAGCAAGGAUCUUCUUUUUUUGAUGAAAUUCAGAGGCUGGGAGAGAACCAGCCACCUUAACUUGAGCAAGGAUCUUCAGUGUUACCUGAUUGGUCUCUCUUACUAUAAGCAUUAUGAGUUACAUGUUAUGAGUUGCAAAUAGUCUUUGCCAAAUGCUCUUAUGUGGGAAUUGAUACAUUUGAUGCUUUUGCAAAAUACUUUUGGUAUAAUAAAAUGAUAAUAAAAGAUAUUGCAUAGUAUUGUAUAGUGGAGAAUAAUAUAAUAUAAUAAAAUAUUAUUAUAUAAUAUAAUAUUAUUAUAAUAUAAUAUAAUAUAAUAUAAAAUAAAUAUAAUUAUAAUAUAAUUUAUUAGUUAUAAUCUAAUGUAAUAAUAGAUUAUAAUAUAGUAUAAUAUAAUAUAUUAUUAUAAUAUAAUUAUAUUGUAUUAUUAUUAAAAUAUUAUUACGUUAUAUUGUAUUUAUAUAAUAAUAGUAAAGCAACAUCUUGUUAUAUUAUAAUGGAUCUUGCUUUAACAAACCUUUGAGAUCAACAUCUUUAUUUAUGAAUAAGUGUAGAGCUUUCAAACCAAGGUUUCAAGUGCUACAGCCUACAAGUUUUCCAGUUAAUGGCAUCGCAGUAGGGAACCGACUUAAUUGUCAUAGGCAAUUUCAACACAGAUCUCAGAAGGAUCUGAUUAUUUGAACUGAAAUUUACGUUGUCAGAUCAGACUAUGUGAUAUGUGAAUAUCUAACAUGGAUGGAAGUUGUACAAGUACUUGGUGGCGGCAACAAAUGGAAAUUGAAGGAAACAUAAAGCUGAUCCCAGCAUCUGGGUCAAGGCUUCUUGGUUAUGGUUUGUGGAGAUUGACGGUGGAUUGAAAUCUGUAGUUUGGUGAUUUUAAUUCUUUAGCUUGUGUAGUGAAGAUCAUAUUUGAAAUCUGUAGUUUGGUGCUUUUGAUUGUUUGGCUUGUGCAGUGAAGAUAAUAUUUCUCUCAUGUUGCUUCUCAUUUUGCUUCUUUCUCAAGGACUAGUGUGAUUUUGUUCAUUUUUUAUUGGAUAGCUUAUGUUUAUUUUGACUUGUUAACCUCUUUUUAGUUUCCAAUUAUCUGUCCUCUUCCAUAAGUAGCUAUUAGCAGGUUUGAUUUCUUCAAAUGCUGAUAAUUGUUUAUUUAAUGUAUGUGGUGCUUGAUCUGCAUUUAUUAGUCUGAUUACUUUUUGUUUGUUUUGUUAUAGAUAGGUUCUGCCGGAUACAUUUGAGCUUGCAUUGCUUAUUUUGGGUUGGAAUCCUGGUGGAGGAAGACUAAUAGAAAUGGAGAAUUGGAUGCAGUUGUUCUUGCUCAACAACUUCAAAGUGAUUCUUUGACCAAGUUUGGAACGAGGAAUCAUAGCCAUGGAGACUUACGUUGUAUUUGAAGCUUCUUUAGGCUUGGGAAUUAAGGUGCUCGCUGAGGUUUUAAAUCCCGUGGGACGGGGUUGUUCCAAUUUUUCCAUGGAUAGGAGUAUUGAAUUCAUGAAUAGGAGUGCUGAAUUCAUGAGCAUCUUUCAAAGAGAGUUCUCCCCUCCACAUGUUACUAAUAAAUAACAUAUUUUUCCUUCAACUCCUACUUCUCUUUUUUGUAGAAGUAAGAUGAAGAAAUUCAGAGAAGAUGUAUCCUUUAAAAGUUCUACAUUCUUGGUGCAAUGUCCUCUGUGAUGCUGUGAAUUCUUUGUUAUGGUUAUAUUUUGCAGGGUGGAAGUUAAGCAUGACAAAAGGACGUUGAUUUUUGGUUCUUUAGGUACUGACAAUACCCUCAUGACUGGGAAAUUAUCGAGUGGAGGACAAUUUAAGGUUCCAAUCUUUGAAUUUGAACCUCCUAAGAAGGGACCAUGCUUGAAUUUUUUUCCUGCCCAAAGUGGAAAAUAGACAGACAGACAGAUGGAUGGAUAGAUAGAAAGAGACUGCUUAAUGUGAUGCAUUUGAUAUGGUUGUUAAUUAUCAGAUCUCAUUGUUGUAGAGCUGUAAAGAAUCGAAGAAUAUGGACUGACAGGUUGUUAGGGGGAUCUAAGCAACAGUUAGUGAGAGAGAAGAUAGAAGAGAGGAAGAGAGAGCAAGGGAGAUGAAGCAAAGAAGGAAGAAGGCCUCACAUUGUUAUCAUUUGUUAUUAUACUUUAUUUGCUUGCUUAUCUAUUGGAACUUCCUUAUGUUUAUUGUCAUUAUACUGUGUUUUUUUGUCUUGCUAGGAUUUUGAUCAAAUAUUAGAUGUGUUGAUGUCAAAGUUUUAAUGACUGGGACUGAAACUUACACCAUUUUUCCAUUUGUAGUAGUACGGUAUUGGUAUGGCAUUGGUACUGUGUACAUAUUGAAACUUAUAGCCAAAAAAAGAAUGAAGAAUCAUCAAUAUGGAUUGAUACAGUCAA